CGCGAAAGGGGGGCAAUCCCUGAGUAGAGUGGCAAACGGGUGAGUAACACGUGGGUGACCUGCCUUCGAGUGGGGGAUAACGUCCCGAAAGGGACGCUAAUACCGCAUGACAUUCUGCUUUUGGACAAGCGGAAAUCAAAGCUGGGGAUCGCAAGACCUAGCGCUUGAAGAGGGGCCCGCGGCUGAUUAGCUAGUUGGUAGGGUAAUGGCCUACCAAGGCAACGAUCUGUAACCGGCCUGAGAGGGCGGUCGGUCACACUGACACUGACAUACGGGUCAGACUCCUACGGGAGGCAGCAGUCGGGAAUUUUGGGCAAUGGGCGAAAGCCUGACCCAGCAACGCCGCGUGAAGGAUGAAGCUUUUCGGAGUGUAAACUUCACAAGAAUGGGAAGAAUAAGUGUGGGAUAAUACCCUUCACGAUGACGGUACCAUUUGUAAGCUCCGGCUAACUCCGUGCCAGCAGCCGCGGUAAUACGGGGGGAGCAAGCGUUGUUCGGAUUUACUGGGCGUAAAGGGCGCGUAGGCGGCGCGACAAGUCACUUGUGAAAUCUCUGGGCUCAACCCAGAACGGUCAAGUGAUACUGUCGUGCUAGAGUGCGGAAGGGGCAACUGGAAUUCUUGGUGUAGCGGUGAAAUGCGUAGAUAUCAAGAGGAACACCUGCGGCGAAGGCGGGUUGCUGGGCCGACACUGACGCUGAGGCGCGAAAGCUAGGGGAGCGAACGGGAUUAGAUACCCCGGUAGUCCUAGCC
rnacentral:rRNA from 1 species